UCGGACGUGGUGUACGGCACAUCCUCGCUCUCUAUUGAGGAGAUCCUGUGUAUAUACGGCGAGGAACCGGGGUUCGACUCCCCGCGUCUGAA